rnacentral:lncRNA from 1 species
CUGCAGCUUUUUGUAUUGUUUUCUCAAGUGAAAUAAUUAACUUCUUUCUUCAAAAAACUAUGGCGAAAAUGGACAUCUCCAAGGCCAUGCAAGUCUUGACGAUGGCAGUUUUUGUAGCAAUCUUUUUGCUCAUGUCCUCUAAGAUGGCAACCGCAAUGCUCAGUGAUGCAGGCCCAGAAACUAUACUUGGUUUGUAGAUAUACCUGCGUACCACUUUGGAGCUAGCAUUUUAUUUGUUCGAAACUUCUCUUUUGCUAUGUCCGCAUUUUAUAAAAUCAAAAUUUGUAUGCAUUCCCAUUUAGCAAUUAACACCUAGAUGGCUUUCUUACAUUUCUAUUAAGAUCACAAUGAAAAUAUUAUAUUGUCAGUUCUAUCCACUUUUAUUGGCCUUCAUUGUCCCAUUUUUUUCUUUUCCAUUUGAGAUCAAUGACCAAAAUAAAUUUGAAAUUUCAUCAAAUUCAUUUGCAGGUCGCAGGGCUCUACUUGCUGACUAUAACACAACUGGUCGCGGAGGAUAUAAUUGAUGAAUUGAGCAAGCUGCAAGCUCAUCAACCAUAUAUGUUGCAUUUGGCUAUGGAAUAAAAUAAUAUAUAUAUAUAUAUAUAUAUAUAUAUAUAUGUUUGUGGGUUCUAUGCUAAGUUAUUUCUUCAUGCAAUAACUAUGUAAUGCCUGCGGCUGUAAGUCAAAAUAUCUUCUAGUAGUACUUCCAAGAUGUUUUGCUUCAAAGGUUAUUAUGAUAUGUAUGUUAUGUCGUUACUUAUAUUUGUGGAGUUGCACUAUAACAAAUCAAAGUGAGUCAAUAAUGAUUACUAAUUAGUUGUGAUUAAUUAAUUCCUUUGAUCUGGAUAUAUAACAAAUAAUAGAAAAAAAAAAUACCCAACAGAAAAAUUCACGGACUUUCAAAUAAGACAAAUAUUUUUGUUCGUCAGAAAAUUAAUUAAGAAAUAACAUAAAUGAUUACAUAUGUCUUCC